UAAGUUAGGGGUCGGUAGUAACGCCAUUGUCCACUGCUUUCACCUCAAAAAAUUAGUGACUGAGGGUGUUUACGCGACGAAAUUGUAACUUUUCAGAACGAAGGAUGAAAAGUUUAAAAAGCAAAACAUUCUAUGAAAAUUCGAAUAGAAAAUAAAAAAUUAGAGCUGGCAGUUCUUUAAUUAUCUAUUGUGGAAGUCAUUUUAAUUGAAAACAGAAAAGAUGAGUCGUAAAGGAAAUAUGGCUACCCGGCGUCUUCGGCAGGAUUAUUUAAGGAUUAUGCGUGAUCCAGUGCCAUAUGUCACAGCUCACCCUCUACCAUCAAACAUUCUUGAUUGAGAAUACGAGGGAAGCGGCGCUUCCUUCGCUUCUAAUGACGGCACGCCACUGGUAAAAAGUAUUUGAUAGAUUUCAUAACUUUGCAUAUGUAAUGUGAAAGAGUCCUAAACCUAUCAUGAAAAUUUUUACAGACCACUAAUUUUGAAUCUCAGAAAAAUUAUCAUUAAAUAAAGCAGAUUUCCCAUUAAACAAAAUAUUUGUUUCUGUUAUAAUCACAUUAUUUUCUUUUCACUUGUAUAGAGUUUAUUAUGUUAAAUAAAGUAAAAUUUGAAAGCCACUUUUUAUAUUUUUUUAUUACUCGAUUUUUAUCCUCUUUUGGGAAAAAGGUUUGCCAUUGCUGGAUUACAGUAUGAUAAGUACCUUAUUCAUUCUCCACAGACUUUAUUUCAUAGGCGAAUUCGGAAUAUUUGCUAAUGUUUUCAGUGUGUGUAUUUAGUAUUUGAUAUAACUAAUAUAAUAUAUGUGAUUUUGUUUUGUUUGUUAAUGAAUGCGAUAUCUGGUUGUUGUGAUGGAUUGCUUUGUUUGUGAUAUGUUUUAUGUGUUGUUUUUAUGACUGUUUGGAAUGUGUAUUUGUAGUAUGGUUGCUGAUAGUGUAAUUACUUGCAAACUUUUGAUAUAUUAUGUUUGCUAUUUGGUUAUGUCACUGUAAUUCAGUCUGUUUAUGCUAAAAGCCUGCACCCUGAUGUUAUGCAUUAUAUAGUUUCAUACUUGAUUUGGAUUUUCUACAAGUGAUAUGUGUGACUGUUGUCUUUUAAAAUGUGCUUUCUGUAAUUUUUGUAUUCAUGACAUGGUCUUGUAUGGUGAUCCCAUAAUAACCCUUCUGUUUCCAAAGAUGCAUACAUGAGCCAGCCAGCAGUUCGACACAAUUUUGUCAAUGUGAUUCUGGCUGAGUUUAUUAGGAUGCUUAUUGUGGAGUUUCUGAGCUCAAGACUGCCUGAUAGUUAAUAUACAUUUUGUAUACUUUAUUAGAUUUAGGUAAGUAUUGUGUAAGUUUAAUGGUGCAUUGUUUUGUCUGUGACAAAUCAUUACUUGGUACAAUUGUGUUUUUUCUUGUUUUUUCAUAGAAAAGCUCUUGGAGUGUCUGUAAUUUGUUUGUAGUGAAGACUUGAAUAUAUCUGUAAGGUCUUACAGUGUCCACCCUUUUUGUGAAGAAUAAUAAGCCUUUGUAUGGAUGACUUAGAGUGGUUUUUUUUGUAUUGUUAAUAUUAUUUUCUUUAAAUUUGGUUUUACUUUUGUGUGUUUCCAAUGCAUAAUUCCAAAUGAAUAAGGGAGUACUGGAAUGGCAUUGUGUUUGAUUGUUUUAAAUACAUGUAUGUGUUUUGAAUUGAGUUGUGUCCUUAGUGUUGAAUCUAAUCUGCUGUUAAAUUUUUAGAAAGUCUUAUUAAGUAAAAAUUAUUUCUAAAGUUCAAGAAGUAAGAAUUCUAGUUUACAAGGGAUGGGCAACCUUUUUCUAUGUAAGGAACACAUUUAAAACUUUAGAGCUGAUGCGGACCUCACACGAGAAAAAAAGAAAAAAAUUGCAGGUUAAUCACAAUUAUUUAUUCAUGGAUUUAAAUUAAGUAUACUUAAUUUGACUUCUGAAACUGAUAUGAAUGUAAUAUAUCUAAAAGAAUUGAUUGAUUAGUCACUGCUAGUUUUAAAUUAGUUUUGAUGUGAGUCUGUUAGCUGAUUUUUUUUUUUUAACUUUAUACUAAAUUCAUUUCAGAAAAAACUGUUCAUAAACAUAAGUUGUAGAAAAUAAUGAUAGAAUUUUUGUGGAAUACUUCCUUAAGGUGGAAAAUUGAUAUAUUUUUAAAAUAUUUUGUGAUGCAUGCUGCACAAAAUAUUAAUGCCCCAGGGUCUUUGAGUUGCCCACCCCUGGUUGACAGGAUUAAUACUGAUCAAUGAAUUAGGAUACAUUUUAUAUUUUUGCAUUUCAGUUAAAUAUUUAUAAUAAAUGAAUGAAAAAUACCAUUUUUAUUUAAAAUAACUUUUAUAUAAACACAAAAAAUAAGAAAAUAAGCAAGACAUUUGUUAUGAUUAUUUUGUGGUUAAGAUCAGACAGAACUAGAGUAGACUUAAUGAAUCUCUCUGGAAAAUUCCUCGCUUAAUGUAUACAGGUAUCCCUCAUACAGCAUGGUUUGAAAAUUGGGGAUAUACCACUUACAACAUGACUUCCAGUUUCACUCUAACAUGGUUUUGGAUAUCCUCUGUAUAAAAUUUCAGAACUUUUAAGUGUAAACUUCAUUAUUUGAUAUUUUUUAUUCAAGUAAGAAUGUGUGUUUUCUCAAAUUUGCGCAUGGAUUUUGGAAUAUUGACUUUUUCAAAUUAUUUUGUGCUUUUCAUCAGGUUUACUUUAAUGAAAACUGAUGGGACAAGGAAGAAAAAAUUGCACUAACUUUCUUAUCAACCAGGUGUCACUGUUGUUGCUUUUAGACUUUAGCCUUUAAAACUGUCACUGUGUUUUCUUUUUAUAGAUUAAUCUUCAUAUUUAGUAAAGUUUAUUUAAACAUUUUUAAGUGUUAUUAAACUUUUUUUAACUAUAGGUAAGCAGUCAUUCUUAAAACGAACGAAAUAUGGCAGUAUCUUGGUACUUGAACAAUUCAGUAUUCAAAACACAAAUUCUGGAAAAAAGUUGUCACUUGAUACUAGACUGAACAAAUGCAACCCACUAGAACAAAUAUUCAAUUAACAGCAAUAAAACAAUAAACAAUAAAAAUAAUUUCAAUAUUUUUAUUUUGUCAUACAUAAAAAUUUUUAUGGUAAAAAUAAAAAAAAUUAAGAUGUUGCCAAUAUUUCUGAUCAAGCUGAGAUGAUGACAAUACUUCAUAAAUAGAAAAUGCCCUGGUUUAACUAAAAUUAAUAUUAAUGCUUAAUAUUAAUACAGUACUUUUAAUUGUGAUUGUUAAUUAAUUAU